rnacentral:rRNA from 1 species
AUUGAUCGCUGGCGGCAUGCCUUACACAUGCAAGUCGAACGGCAGCGGGGGAGAAGCUUGCUUUUCCUGCCGGCGAGUGGCGAACGGGUGAGUAAUACAUCGGAACGUGCCCUGUAGUGGGGGAUAACUAGUCGAAAGAUUAGCUAAUACCGCAUACGACCUGAGGGUGAAAGUGGGGGAUCGCAAGGCCUCAUGCUAUAGGAGCGGCCGAUGUCUGAUUAGCUAGUUGGUGGGGUAAAGGCCUACCAAGGCGACGAUCAGUAGCUGGUCUGAGAGGACGAUCAGCCACACUGGGACUGAGACACGGCCCAGACUCCUACGGGAGGCAGCAGUGGGGAAUUUUGGACAAUGGGCGAAAGCCUGAUCCAGCAAUGCCGCGUGUGUGAAGAAGGCCUUCGGGUUGUAAAGCACUUUUGUCCGGAAAGAAAUGGCUCUGGUUAAUACCUGGGGUCGAUGACGGUACCGGAAGAAUAAGGACCGGCUAACUACGUGCCAGCCGCCGCAGUAA